ensembl:snoRNA
UAGCACUGCUCACUGACCAGCUGGUCUUUCCCUGAUGACCUCCUUGGUCUCACUCCAGUGCAAGAUCAAUUCCUUCUAGCAGAAGGGCCAGGCUCACGUCAUGGUCUGUCCCUUUCGAAAGCUGGAUACAAAC